UACAGAGGGUGCAAGCGUUAAUCGGAAUUACUGGGCGUAAAGCGUGCGUAGACGGUUAUGUAAGUCAGAUGUGAAAGCCCCGGGCUCAACCUGGGAAUUGCAUUGAGACUGCAUAGCUAGGGUGCGGAAGAGGGAAGCGGAAUUUCCGGUGUAGCGGUGAAAUGCGCAGAUAUCGGGAGGAACACCAGCGGCGAAGGCGGCGCUCUGGGCCGGUACUGACGCUGAGGAGCGAAAGCGUGGGUAGCAAACAGG
rnacentral:rRNA from 1 species